AAUUUCACAAACUUGUUUGGACAGCCACUAGUCUGCUUGCUUUCUCCUACAGCAUAUCCAAAAGCUUUACAAGGGACUGGGUCUCACCAUGUUGCCUAGGCUGGUCUCAAACUCCUGGGCUCAAGAGAUCUGCCUGCCUUGGCCUCCCAAAGUGCUAUUCAACAUUUAUUAUCAGAUCAAUCUCAGCGAGGUAGCCUCUUCACUCUCUUUUUGAACAAUCCUCUAAUGGCCUUCCUAUUUGUCUCUGGAUUGUCAAGCAUGCGCAGAGGCCUAUGGGAAAAGUGUCAAGAAUAUCUUCGAAAAAUCAACCGUGAUAUUGCCCAGCUACUGACUCAUUCACGUUCAAUAGAUCAGGCAUUUCUCCAGUUUUUUGGAGAUGAAUUUCUUCGCUUGCUCCUCACAAGAUUUAUCUUUUGUUCAGCCACCAUGAGGAUGCACAAGAUUUUUCGGGUAGGCAAAGAACAUUAUUAAAGACGAAUUUUAUCAUUUUAGGUAUUUAAGAACCAUGUAUUAUAUUUUACCUGUAUAAAAUAAGGUUAUAAUAAAAUAAUAUUAUUUUGGA
rnacentral:lncRNA from 1 species